UCAUUUUUAAUUGAUUUCUUUAAAUUGUUGAUUGUAUUAGUCUGUGCUCACACUGCUAAUAAAGACAUACCUGAGACUGGGUAAUUUAUAAAG